rnacentral:misc_RNA from 1 species
GAUGAAGAACGCAGCGAAAUGCGAUAAGUAAUGUGAAUUGCAGAAUUCAGUGAAUCAUCGAAUCUUUGAACGCACAUUGCGCCCGGCAGUAUUCUGGCGGGCAUGCCUGUCUGAGCGUCAUUUCAACCCUCAUGCCCCUAGGGCGUGGUGUUGGGGAUCGGCCAAAGCCCGCGAGGGACGGCCGGCCCCUAAAUCUAGUGGCGGACCCGUCGUGGCCUCCUCUGCGAAGUAGUGAUAUUCCGCAUCGGAGAGCGAUGAGCCCCUGCCGUUAAACCCCCAACUUUCCAAGGUUGACCUCAGAUCAGGUAGGAAUACCCGCUGAACUUAAGCAUAUCAAUAAGCGGAGGA